rnacentral:rRNA from 1 species
GACGAACGCUGGCGGCGUGCUUAACACAUGCAAGUCGAACGGAAAGGCCCUGCUUGCAGGGUACUCGAGUGGCGAACGGGUGAGUAACACGUGGGUGAUCUGCCCUGCACUUCGGGAUAAGCCUGGGAAACUGGGUCUAAUACCGGAUAGGAGCCAUUUUUAGUGUGAUGGUUGGAAAGUUUUUUCGGUGUAGGAUGAGCUCGCGGCCUAUCAGCUUGUUGGUGGGGUAAUGGCCUACCAAGGCGGCGACGGGUAGCCGGCCUGAGAGGGUGGACGGCCACAUGGGGACUGAGAUACGGCCCAGACUCCUACGGGAGGCAGCAGUGGGGAAUAUGGCACAAUGGGCGCAAGCCUGAUGCAGCGACGCCGCGUGGGGGAUGACGGCCUUCGGGUUGUAAACUCCUUUCGCUAGGGACGAAGCUUUUGUGACGGUACCUAGAUAAGAAGCACCGGCUAACUACGU